rnacentral:lncRNA from 1 species
CAACUACUGAGCAUGGAAUUACCAGGAAAAACGGCUACUGUGUGAAGCACGGGCAUGUCCAUCUGUUGUGAUUUGGAAACACGGAGAACCUCUCUUCAUGUCAGAACCUCAAACUGACAGUGGUUCAUGGACCAAUAGGUUCACUGAUUGCUCGGGAGAUUGAAAUGAGAUACUCCUUCAAAGUUGCUGUGAAAGAUUCUCUUCUUUCUCAGUCCCGUAAGAUGAAGCUGUGGGCUCCAUGUCCCCUGUCUCCAGUGGAGAAUCAACAUCACAAGCUACAGCUCCUGAGUCCGAUUCACAUGAAGAAAUACAGGUUCAUCACUACUAAGUGGCUGGAGAGCAGUGCACUAUCAUCCUCCCUGCCCUACCGAGCAACAGGAGAGGAGAAGACCUGUCGAGGUCUGUCUGCAUAGAGCUGCAGAUGUGUUAAAGCAGAGGAUGCUGCGGCUCAGCAACACAGAAAGAUCUCACCUCUGUUGUAUGUGAUGGAUAAAAUCAACCAGGCAAAACAACCAACUACGGUGUUUAAAGUGAUUUUACUGAAUAUCAACAUGAGGAUACAGGUGGGUCGAGUGUCAAUAGAAGUUAUAAAUGAAUUUAUGACACAGCACCCAUGAGCUGAAGAGCCACUGAAGACCAAGUGGUCACCACGCAGCAGCUGUCAGCAGGCCUCAGCAAUAGCCUAAACGUCCCCUGGCAAGCAAUUAGAAAAUGAAAGUUAAUACAGUUGUCAACCAGAAGAAGUGGAGAACAGUUCUGAAGACAAUGUUCGAAGGAACCUUUUUCAUGUGUAA